UACGUAGGGAGCAAGCGUUGUCCGGAAUCAUUGGGCGUAAAGCGUGCGUAGGCGGCUGCGCAAGUCGGUUGUGAAACCCCGGGGCUCAACCCCGGAACUGCAUCCGAUACUGCGUGGCUAGAGGUAGGUAGGGGAGAUCGGAAUUCCUGGUGUAGCGGUGAAAUGCGCAGAUAUCAGGAGGAACACCGGUGGCGAAGGCGGAUCUCUGGGCCUUACCUGACGCUCAGGCACGAAAGCUAGGGGAGCGAACAGG
rnacentral:rRNA from 1 species